rnacentral:rRNA from 1 species
GACGAACGCUGGCGGCGCGCUUAACACAUGCAAGUCGAGCGAAGCGGCGGAAGGGUUAGUAACACGUGAGUAACCUGCCUUAGACAUUGGGACAGCCUCGGGAAACCGGGUUUAAUACCAAAUGGUCUAAGAUGGACUCGCGUCCCAUUAGCUAGUUGGUGAGGUAACGGCCCACCAAGGCGACGAUGGGUAGCCGGCAUGAGAGGGUGAACGGCCACAUUGGAACUGAGAAACGGGCCAAACUCUACGGGAUGCAGCAGUGGGUAAUAUUGCAAAAGGGAGGGAAGUCUGAAGCAGCGAGGCUGGGUGAACGAAGAAGGCUUUCGAGUAGUAAAGUUCGUUUAUAUGGGAAGCGGUACCAUAAGAAAAAGCCCCGGCUAACUACGUGCCAGCAGCCGCGGUAAUAC